AGAGUUUGAUCCUGGCUCAGGACGAACGCUGGCGGCGUGCUUAACACAUGCAAGUCAAGGAGAAUUGAAUUUUUCGAAAUUCAUAGUAAACUGGCGCAAGGGUGAGUAUCGCGUAGGCAACCUGCCCCGCAGUGGGGAAUAACAUCGGGAAACUGGUGCUAAUGCCGCAUGAUGUUCAUUUAACUCAUGUUGAUUGAAUCAAAGGGGGUUUCGACUUGUCGAAACACCGCUGUGGGAUGGGCCUGCGUCCUAUUAGCUUGUUGGUAGGGUAACGGCCUACCAAGGCUGCGAUGGGUAGCUGGUCUGAGAGGAUGAUCAGCCACACUGGCACUGAGACACGGGCCAGACUCCUACGGGAGGCAGCAGUGAGGAAUAUUGGGCAAUGGGCGAAAGCCUGACCCAGCAACGCCGCGUGGGUGAUAAGCACUGAGGUGUGUAAAACCCUGUUAGGAGGGAAGAAUGAUCUGCUUUGCAGAUUUGACGGUACCUCCAGAGAAAGCUCCGGCUAACUCCGUGCCAGCAGCCGCGGUAACACGGGGGGAGCAAGCGUUGUCCGGAUUUACUGGGCGUAUAGAGCGUGUAGGCGGGACAGUCAGUCAUUUGUGAAAUCUCUCGGCUUAACCGGGAAUCUGCAAGUGAUACUGCUGUCCUUGAGUUCGAAAGAGGGAAGUGGAAUUCCUGGUGUAGCGGUGAAAUGCGUAGAUAUCAGGAAGAACACCAGUAGCGAAGGCGGCUUCCUGGUCCGUUACUGACGCUGAGACGCGAAAGCGUGGGGAGCAAACAGGAUUAGAUACCCUGGUAGUCCACGCCGUAAACGAUGGGCACUAGGUGUUGGAGGUUUCGACCCCUUCAGUGCCGAAGCUAACGCAUUAAGUGCCCCGCCUGGGGAGUACGGUCGCAAGACUGAAACUCAAAGGAAUUGACGGGGGCCCGCACAAGCGGUGGAGCAUGUGGUUUAAUUCGAUCAACGCGAAGAACCUUACCUGGGCUUGAACUACAGUAGACAGCUUCAGAAACGAAGUCUUCCUUCGGGACUGCUGUAGAGGUGCUGCAUGGCUGUCGUCAGCUCGUGUCGUGAGAUGUUGGGUUAAGUCCCGCAACGAGCGCAACCCUUGUCCUUAGUUGCCAUCAGGUAGAGCUGGGCACUCUAAGGAGACUGCCCCGGAUGACGGGGAGGAAGGUGGGGAUGACGUCAAGUCCUCAUGGCCCUUAUGUCCAGGGCUACACACGUGCUACAAUGGCCGGUACAGUGGGAAGCAAUACCGCAAGGUGGAGCCAAUCCCCAAAACCGGUCUCAGUUCGGAUUGGAGUCUGCAACUCGACUCCAUGAAGUUGGAAUCGCUAGUAAUCACGGAUCAGCAGGUCGUGGUGAAUACGUUCCCGGGCCUUGUACACACCGCCCGUCACGCCAUGAAAGUCGGGAGUACCAGAAGACGGUGGCCUAACUUCGGAGGGAGCCGUCAA
rnacentral:rRNA from 1 species